UGCUUCACACAAGUGCGGGAUAUAAAUCAAUCAUUGACUCUCCGAAUGAAAACGACAGAGACAUCAAUGGCUUUUUCUCGUGGAUUGUGAAGAACAUCUUGCGCUGAAGUCCCCUAACAAAGCCAAACCUGACGUAUAUAGAAGACAUUACUAAGAAGGUGGCUGUGGAAGUGAUGAUUUUGGGGCAAUAAUUGCAAAAUAUGCA
rnacentral:lncRNA from 1 species